AUUGAACGCUGGCGGCAUGCUUUACACAUGCAAGUCGAACGGCAGCGCGGGCUUCGGCCUGGCGGCGAGUGGCGAACGGGUGAGUAAUGCAUCGGAACGUGCCCAGUAGUGGGGGAUAGCCCGGCGAAAGCCGGAUUAAUACCGCAUACGACCUGAGGGUGAAAGCGGGGGACCGAAAGGCCUCGCGCUAUUGGAGCGGCCGAUGUCGGAUUAGCUAGUUGGUGGGGUAAAGGCUUACCAAGGCGACGAUCCGUAGCUGGUCUGAGAGGACGACCAGCCACACUGGGACUGAGACACGGCCCAGACUCCUACGCGAGGCAGCAGUGGGGAAUUUUGGACAAUGGGGGCAACCCUGAUCCAGCCAUGCCGCGUGCGGGUAGAAGGCCUUCGGGUUGUAAACCGCUUUUGUUCGGGAAGAAAUCCUCUGGGCUAAUACCCCGGGGGGAUGACGGUACCGGAAGAAUAAGCACCGGCUAACUACGUG
rnacentral:rRNA from 1 species